rnacentral:rRNA from 1 species
UUGCACGCUGGCGGCAUGCUUUACACAUGCAAGUCGCACGGUAACAGGCCUUCGGGUGCUGACGAGUGGCGAACGGGUGAGUAAUGCAUCGGAACGUACCCAGAGGUGGGGGAUAACGCAGCGAAAGCUGUGCUAAUACCGCAUGUGAUCUGAGGAUGAAAGCGGGGGACCGAGCAGCAAUGUUUGGCCUCGCGCCUUUGGAGCGGCCGAUGUCGGAUUAGCUAGUUGGUGGGGUAAAGGCCUACCAAGGCGACGAUCCGUAGCUGGUCUGAGAGGACGACCAGCCACACUGGGACUGAGACACGGCCCAGACUCCUACGGGAGGCAGCAGUGGGGAAUUUUGGACAAUGGGCGCAAGCCUGAUCCAGCAAUGCCGCGUGCGGGAAGAAGGCCUUCGGGUUGUAAACCGCUUUUGGCAGGAACGAAACGGUGUCCGCUAAUACCGGGCGCUAAUGACGGUACCUGCAGAAUAAGCACCGGCUAACUACGUG